rnacentral:lncRNA from 1 species
CUUAUAACUGUUCGGUUGGCGUCUGCCUUAUGCACAGAAUUCCACACAUGUCUUGACCCUAAAAAAUUUCUGGACUUCAUCAACAACAGUAUCUUCCGUAAUUGAAUUGCGGGCCUGCCGUUCUAGGGGAUUCGAAGAUAGCAUUCGUUAUUUUCGUAAGGUGAUAGGUGGCAAAUUUUUAAACGAAGGAGAGGGCUACGUCAUUCUAAAGCAAAACUACUUCCUGAUGCUAACUAGCUUGGAAAUUGCUUAUACACGGAAGAACAUGACCUAGAGUUGAGGUUUAGGGAUGCGUCCGGCCAUCUUGGGACCAAGUGUUGUUACCGUGCUACGAAUACUAAUCAAAUCAAUCCGAAUUCAGGGAGCAGGAUGUUUAACAUUGCGAGAUCAUAUGAGGAUAAAACUAUCUUGAAAACGGAUUGGAUGUAAUUCUCAAUGAUGCCAAUAGAUCGAUGAUCGGAAGGGCGAACAAGACAGCCAGUCAAUCACGAUCAUAUCCAAGCAGCGACACAUAUUGGUGCGGGGUUCGUGAUUGCCGGUUACUGAUUGUGUGGCUUUCUGCAUUUAAUUGGAUACUCAUGUCAUGAAGACAAGAAAUGUUUUUACAAGCAUCACAUCACACUAUUUCGAUUCAGGUUUGUAUUUUACAUGUGUGGAUUUUUUUGAAUAAACCCAAAAUGGGUACAUCAUAGUAAUAAAUAAA